rnacentral:rRNA from 1 species
GGUGAACCUGCGGAAGGAUCAUUAAAGUAUCUUUCUCAACCUGCGCUUAAUUGCGCGGUUGGAAACCAUAUACACUAUGUUUUUGUUUAUGUUUCUUUUGAAAUUAAUUUAUAUCGUGGGGAAAAGUAGGUAACUAUUUUUUUCAUGUCGAUGAAAUUAUUUUUGACCGAAGCAUCAAUUUCUAAACUCCUUCCAAUUUAUUUUGGGAAUGUAUUUUUAUUACUUAAUUCAUCAUAAAAUAGUUUUUUAAUUAUUAACAAAAUUUAAAACUUUCAGCAACGGAUCUCUUGGUUCUCGCAUCGAUGAAGAACGCAGCGAAUUGCGAUAAGUAAUAUGAAUUGCAGAUUUUCGUGAAUCAUCGAAUCUUUGAACGCAUAUUGCACUCUUUAGUAUUCUGGAGAGUAUGCCUGUUUGAGCGCCAUUUCUCUCUUAAACCCUAGGGUUUAGUAAGAUGGAGCGUGUUGCAUUAUGCAACUGCUCUGAAAUGUCUAAUGGUUGUACUCUAACACUAGUUUACUAGUAAUAGGCUAGGAAUUUCAAUAUUAGGUUUUACCAACUAUUGGAUGAUAACUAGUUUGU